rnacentral:rRNA from 1 species
CUAUACAUGACUCUGCGCAUAUCAAUAAGCGGAGGAAAAGAAACUAACAAGGAUUCCCCUAGUAACGGCGAGUGAAGCGGGAAGAGCUCAAAUUUGAAAUCUUAAAGGGUUUCCCUUUACGAAUUGUAGUUUAAAGAAGUGUUUUCUGUUGAGGUUUUGGUAAAAGUUCUUUGGAAUAGGACAUCAUAGAGGGUGAGAAUCCCGUAUUUGACCUUUACUUUCAACUUUGUGAUACACUUUCAAAGAGUCGGAUUGUUUGGGAAUGCAGUCCAAAAUGGGUGGUAAAUUUCAUCUAAAGCUAAAUAUUGGCGAGAGACCGAUAGCGAACAAGUACCGUGAGGGAAAGAUGAAAAGAACUUUGAAAAGAGAGUUAAACAGUACGUGAAAUUGUCAAAAGGGAAGCGUUUGACACCAGUGUUGUUUUUUCUGAAAAUCAAUUAAAGAACUGUUUAUGCUAAGCUUGUUUAGACUUUAUCAGCUAACUGUUUAGUUUUGAGCUUUUCUUUAACGCACUUUUCAGUUAACAAGUCAACAUCAAUUUCUCUUUGCUGUAAAAAAAGCUUGAGGAAGGUGGCUUGAGAUUCGUCUUAAGUGUUUAUAGCCUCUUGCCUAUGCAGUCGGAGAGAUUGAGGUCUGCAGCGUAGAUCCUUCGGGGCUAAAUGCAUUUGUGCUAAGUUAUAGCAUUUUAUAGACAACUUGUUGACUAUGAUUUGUCUUGUAGCUUACUCGCUUAUGUUAUUUUACCUACGCUUAGGAUGUUGAGCGCAUGUCUCUCUCU